AGAGACCCUGCAAACUCAUAUGAAGAAUCAGAAGGGGAUUCUGCUAACUGAAAUGGAGCGUGAGAAUGAGAGACUGCAAUCUGAACUGGCGAAACAGAAAGGUCAGUGUCUGUGAUCCACAAAACCCCACUUGGCUGACGCCUAAUCCUGUAGGCAUCUAAAC